rnacentral:rRNA from 1 species
GGCGUAAAGAGCUCGUAGGUGGUUUGUCGCGUUGUUCGUGAAAUCUCACGGCUUAACUGUGAGCGUGCGGGCGAUACGGGCAGACUUGAGUACUGCAGGGGAGACUGGAAUUCCUGGUGUAGCGGUGGAAUGCGCAGAUAUCAGGAGGAACACCGGUGGCGAAGGCGGGUCUCUGGGCAGUAACUGACGCUGAGGAGCGAAAGCGUGGGGAGCGAACAGGAUUAGAUACCCUGGUAGUCCACGCCGUAAACGGUGGGUACUAGGUGUGGGUUUCCUUCCUUGGGAUCCGUGCCGUAGCUAACGCAUUAAGUACCCCGCCUGGGGAGUACGGCCGCAAGGCUAAAACUCAAAGAAAUUGACGGGGGCCCGCACAAGCGGCGGAGCAUGUGGAUUAAUUCGAUGCAACGCGAAGAACCUUACCUGGGUUUGACAUGCACAGGACGCCGGCAGAGAUGUCGGUUCCCUUGUGGCCUGUGUGCAGGUGGUGCAUGGCUGUCGUCAGCUCGUGUCGUGAGAUGUUGGGUUAAGUCCCGCAACGAGCGCAACCCUUGUCUCAUGUUGCCAGCGGGUAAUGCCGGGGACUCGUGAGAGACUGCCGGGGUCAACUCGGAGGAAGGUGGGGAUGACGUCAAGUCAUCAUGCCCCUUAUGUCCAGGGCUUCACACAUGCUACAAUGGCCGGUACAAAGGGCUGCGAUGCCGCGAGGUUAAGCGAAUCCUUUUAAAGCCGGUCUCAGUUCGGAUCGGGGUCUGCAACUCGACCCCGUGAAGUCGGAGUCGCUAGUAAUC